rnacentral:rRNA from 1 species
UACGGGGGGGGCAAGCGUUGUUCGGAAUUACUGGGCGUAAAGGGCUCGUAGGCGGCCAACUAAGUCAGACGUGAAAUCCCUCGGCUUAACCGGGGAACUGCAUCUGAUACUGGAUGGCUUGAGUUCGGGAGAGGGAUGCGGAAUUCCAGGUGUAGCGGUGAAAUGCGUAGAUAUCUGGAGGAACACCGGUGGCGAAGGCGCA